AUACGUAGGUGACAAGCGUUAUCCGGAUUUACUGGGUGUAAAGGGCGUGUAGGCGGUUUAGCAAGUCAGAAGUGAAAUUCCCGGGCUUAACUUGGGCGCUGCUUCUGAAACUGCUUUACUUGAGUGCUGGAGAGGAUAGUGGAAUUCCUAGUGUAGCGGUAAAAUGCGCAGAUAUUAGGAGGAACACCGGUGGCGAAGGCGGCUAUCUGGACAGUAACUGACGCUGAGGCGCGAAAGCACGGGGAGCAAACAGGAUUAGAUACCCUGGUAGUCCGUGCCGUAAACGAUGAAUACUAGGUGUAGGGGGUAUCGACUCCCUCUGUGCCGCAGUUAACACAUUAAGUAUUCCACCUGUGGAGUACGGCCGCAAGGUUGAAACUCAAAUGAAUUGACGGGG
rnacentral:rRNA from 1 species